AUGUACCUCUACAGCCUGACGCUGCAGCGGGCGACGGGCGCCGUGUGCGCCGUCAUCGGCAGCUUCAGCGGCCGCGACUCGAAGAAGUCGAACGCCGCGGGCUCCUCCACGCAGGAGAUCGCCGUCGCCCGCGGCGGCACGCUCGAUCUCCUCCGCCCGGACCCGGAGACGGGCCGCCUCCGCACGCUCCUCUCCGUCGACGUCUUCGGCGCCAUCCGCUCGCUCGCCCAGUUCCGCCUCACGGGGGCCACCAAGGACUACCUCGUCGUCGGCUCCGACUCCGGCCGCCUCGUCAUCCUCGAGUACUCCCCCGACCGCAACCGCUUCGACAAGGUCCACCAGGAGACCUUCGGCAAGUCCGGCUGCCGCCGCAUCGUGCCCGGCCAGCUCCUCUCCGUCGACCCCAAGGGCCGGGCGCUCUGCAUCGCCGCCCUCGAGAAGCAGAAGCUCGUCUACGUCCUCAACCGCGACGCCUCCGCCCGCCUCACCAUCUCCUCCCCGCUAGAGGCGCACAAGUCCCACACGCUCACCUUCGCCCUCACGGCCCUCGACUGCGGAUUUGACAACCCUGUCUUUGGUGCCAUCGAGCUCGAGUACGGUGACUCUGACCGUGACCCCACAGGGCAGGCUGCUAGCCACGCGCAGAAGCUCCUCACCUUCUACGAGCUCGACCUGGGGCUCAAUCAUGUUUCCCGCAAGGUCUCCGAGCCGAUUGACAAUGGUGCUAAUAUGCUAGUGACAGUGCCUGGUGGUGCUGAUGGCCCUAGCGGGCUUCUUGUUUGCUGUGACAACUUUGUCCUGUACCGGAAUCAGGGCCACCCGGAGGUUCGUGCUGUCAUUCCACGCCGUGUUGACCUCCCGGCUGAGCGUGGCGUCCUCAUAGUUGCUGCUGCCACGCACAGGCAGAAGAGCUUGUUCUUCUUCUUACUACAGACUGAGUAUGGUGAUAUCUUCAAGGUUGACCUGGACCACCAUGGUGAUACUGUUAGUGAGCUCAGGAUCAAAUAUUUUGACACCAUACCUGUGGCAUCUGCUAUCUGUGUGCUGCGGUCAGGCUUCCUCUUUGCUGCUUCUGAGUUUGGCAACCAUGCACUUUACCAAUUCCGUGAUAUUGGCCGGGAUGUGGAUGUUGAGUCCUCCUCUGCGACACUGAUGGAGACAGAGGAGGGGUUCCAGCCAGUGUUCUUUCAGCCGAGGGCACUCAAGAACCUUGUCCGGAUUGAUGAGAUAGAGAGCCUCAUGCCAAUCAUGGACAUGCGUAUUGCAAAUUUAUUCGACGAGGAAACACCCCAGGUGUACACAGCUUGUGGCCGUGGCUCACGCUCCACGCUGCGCAUCCUUAGGCCUGGCCUUGCCAUCAGCGAGAUGGCCCGAUCAAUGCUGCCUGCUGAGCCCAUUGCUGUUUGGACUGUCAAGAAGAAUAUCAAUGACAUGUUUGACGCCUACAUUGUUGUGUCCUUUGCUAAUGUCACACUUGUGCUCUCAAUUGGAGAGACCAUUGAAGAAGUCAGCGACAGCCAGUUCCUGGACACCACUCACUCACUAGCAGUUUCGCUCCUUGGUGAGGAUUCUCUCAUGCAGGUCCACCCGAACGGUAUCAGGCAUAUCAGGGAGGAUGGCCGUGUCAAUGAGUGGAGGACGCCUGGGAAGAAAACUAUCACCAAGGUUGGAUCAAACCGGCUCCAGGUGGUAAUUGCCCUCAGUGGUGGAGAGCUCAUCUAUUUUGAGAUGGAUAUGACAGGUCAGCUCAUGGAGGUGGAGAAGCAGGACAUGUCUGGUGAUGUCGCGUGCCUGGCCAUUGCCCCCGUUCCUGAAGGGAGGCAAAGGUCCCGUUUUCUCGCAGUUGGCUCCUAUGAUAACACCAUCAGGAUACUCUCCCUUGACCCCGAUGACUGCUUGCAGCCUCUUAGUGUACAAAGUGUGUCCUCGGCUCCGGAAUCUCUCUUGUUCUUAGAAGUACAGGCAUCAGUUGGUGGCGAGGAUGGUGCAGAUUAUCCAGCCAACCUUUUCCUUAAUGCUGGUUUGCAGAAUGGUGUCCUUUUCCGAACCAAUGUUGACAUGGUCACUGGUCAGCUAUCAGACACACGGUCUCGAUUCCUUGGUCUGAGACCUCCAAAGCUGUUUCCCUGCAUAGUUAGCCACCGACAAGCAAUGCUUUGCCUGUCCAGCCGCCCCUGGCUUGGCUAUAUACAUCAAGGUCACUUCCUCUUGACACCACUCUCAUGCGACACACUUGAGUCUGCUGCGUCGUUCUCUUCUGACCAGUGCUCAGAAGGUGUUGUUGCUGUUGCUGGAGACGCUCUGCGUAUUUUCACCAUCGAACGUCUGGGAGAGACAUUCAAUGAGACAUCUAUCCCUCUGCGUUACACCCCGAGGAAAUUUGUGAUUCUACCAAAAAAGAAAUACCUUGCAGUCAUUGAGAGUGACAAGGGUGCAUUUAGCGCAGAACAGCGAGAAGCUGCUAAGAAGGAGUGCCUUGAGGCUGCUGGUGCGGCAGAAAAUGGAAAUGGUAAUGGGAAUCAAAUGGAGAAUGGUGAUGGUCAAGAAGAUGGUGAGGAGAGUAACACACUUCCUGAUGAACAAUAUGGUUACCCAAAGGCAGAAUCAGAAAAGUGGGUUUCCUGCAUUAGAAUUCUUGAUCCGAGGAGCACGGACACAACUUGUCUUCUGGAAUUGCAGGACAAUGAGGCGGCUGUCAGUAUUUGCACUGUGAAUUUCCAUGAUAAGGAGCAUGGUACUCUUCUGGCUGUUGGUACUACCAAGGGAUUGCAGUUCUGGCCAAAGAGGAGCCUCGCUUCUGGUUUCAUCCACAUAUACAAGUUUGUCAAUGAAGGGAAGUCGCUUGAACUUCUUCACAAAACACAAGUGGAGGAAGUGCCUCUUUCUUUGUGCCAGUUUCAGGGUCGGUUGCUUGCAGGUGUUGGUUCAGUGCUGAGGUUAUAUGAUCUGGGGAAGAGAAAGUUGCUCAGAAAAUGUGAAAACAAGCUUUUCCCAAGGACAAUAGUGUCUAUUCAUACUUACCGUGAUAGGAUCUAUGUUGGUGAUAUGCAAGAGUCGUUUCAUUAUUGCAAGUACAGACGGGACGAAAACCAGCUGUAUAUCUUUGCUGAUGACAGUGUUCCUAGAUGGCUUACAGCAGCAAAUCACAUAGAUUUCGACACUAUGGCAGGAGCCGACAAGUUUGGGAACAUAUAUUUUGCUCGUCUUCCCCAGGAUCUCUCAGAUGAAAUUGAGGAAGACCCAACUGGAGGCAAGAUUAAAUGGGAGCAAGGGAAGUUAAAUGGUGCUCCAAACAAAGUGGAGGAGAUUGUGCAGUUUCAUGUUGGUGAUGUUGUGACAUGUUUGCAGAAGGCUUCUUUGAUACCUGGCGGAGGUGAAUGUCUUAUUUAUGGGACUGUGAUGGGUAGUGUUGGAGCACUGCUUGCAUUCACCUCCAGGGAAGAUGUUGACUUCUUCUCUCAUUUGGAGAUGCAUCUCCGCCAGGAGCAUCCACCAUUAUGUGGAAGAGAUCACAUGGCCUACAGAUCUGCAUAUUUCCCAGUGAAGGAUGUGAUUGAUGGUGAUCUCUGUGAGCAGUAUCCAGCCCUUCCAGCUGAUAUGCAGAGGAAGAUUGCCGAUGAGCUUGACCGAACUCCAGGUGAAAUCCUGAAGAAGCUGGAAGACAUCAGAAACAAAAUCAUCUAG
rnacentral:rRNA from 1 species